rnacentral:rRNA from 1 species
UACGUAGGGUGCGAGCGUUGUCCGGAAUUAUUGGGCGUAAAGGGCUCGUAGGCGGUUUGUCACGUCGGGAGUGAAAACUCAGGGCUCAACCCUGAGCCUGCUUCCGAUACGGGCAGACUAGAGGUAUGCAGGGGAGAACGGAAUUCCUGGUGUAGCGGUGGAAUGCGCAGAUAUCAGGAGGAACACCGGUGGCGAAGGCGGAUCUCUGGGCCUUGCCUGACGCUGAGGCGCGAAAGCUAGGGGAGCGAACAGG